GAUGAUGGGCUCUAGCUGCAGUCUGGCUCCACUGGUCUGGUGCAGAACAGGCUCUCUGGAGGCGGUUUGUAAGUGUGGUCACAAAAAUCAAUGUUCUGGGAGAACGGGAAGCAGCUCCAUUUUUUGGGGGUCCUUUACACAGCUCAAGGUCUGGGUCCCAGGGUCCACCUUCAUGUUCCACCAAUGAGUUUGUUCACAGGGGGUGGAGUGUGUAGGGGAUGUCCUGAUAUGU